GGAGAGGUUCGGCAGUGGCUUACCCGGGCGGUCUCGAAAACCGCUGUGCCUUCGGGCACCGUGGGUUCGAAUCCCACCCUCUCCGCCA
rnacentral:tRNA from 1 species